GUGGAACCGCCUCCUGCUAGAGCAGCGGGCUGGCGACGGUCCUCGCCGGGGCGGGAAGCGGCUCAGGCUGCCCUCGCUGGCCUGCGGCGGCGCGGCUGGAAGCGCGGGCCACUCGUGCGUGGGUCACUCAGGACUGCGCCUCGCGCGACUGUGUGUGCAGGAAACAAGCAGGAAAUACCCUAAAAGAGAAUGAAGCGCCAUGUUGAGGGUCGCGGACGUCGCGAGUGCUGUGGGAAUGUGGGCUGAGGUGGAGAGUUAUGGUAGCCCGUGUUACAGGCUCAGGGGUCUGAAAGAAGCCUAAUCGUGGAGGCGGCAUCUGAGGAGGGUCUUGAAGGCUGGGCAGGCAUUUGCCCGACAGAGAUGGAGGAAGCUAGUCCUGUCUGAUGGAGGAAACAGGGCGGAGGCGUGGAGGGAGCCGUGCAGCGCUGGUGUGAGGAGCAGCGAGCAGGCCAGGCCUGUAAAGCAGAGUGAGGGAACCAGGAUAGAGAAGGCAAGUCGGGGUCCUGUGGUCGCUGAAGAAUUUGAAUGAAAUCAGUAAACAGGCUGUACAGGAAGCAUGGUGAUGGCAUCUGCAUGGCGCCUGUGGAGGCCCCAGGGAGCUUUUACUCAUGAUGGAAGGCACAGAGGGAGUAGGCACAUCACAUGGUCCGAGGAGGAGCAAGAGAAAAUGGGAGUGGGGCUCUUUGUCCUGGGAAGAGUUUGCUGCAUCUUCCAGUUUCAGUAAUCAAAGAAGCAAAGUUCCCUGCAGUUCUUCAAGGAACCUUGAGAAUUCAGAAGGUCUUGGGGUGGCUGCAUCCAUCCUGCAGACAAAUGCCAAUCAGCAGAGGGGCCAUUCCCAGGGACACAUGUCUGGCUGACUUGGGCCUUGGCCAGGUAAGACACACAGCAUGCAUGCCUGCAUUUCUGAAUGCCAUAGACCUGACAAGUCAUAAAAUAGCAACCAAUAAUUUUAUGUUAGAGUGCUCCCUUCCUCACAGAAAUCUCAGCAUAUGUGAAGAUAGGUUGGAAUGUGUAAAGAAAAGCUAAGAAAGCAGAUUUCUGAUAAGAACAGCGUGUGACUUGUACAGCAGCUCUGAAUUACAGCCCGUAGGAUGGAAUGCUGACAGUUCCUUCUUCCUUACCUGUGAUGGCUAGAAUUUUAUUUAGCACAUCGUUUUUGAGCCAAUCUCAAAAUGAGAAAACUUUUGAGGAAUUAUGCAUAGUGUGAAGUAUAUUCUUUCCCUUGUUGCCCGUGGAGAUUCCACUGUGACAGGGCAGAUUUCCCACUGCAGGGUCGAUGGAGAUGCUGCUGCUGUCUUUGGACAUAAUAGUUUAUGACAAAGAGACCAAAAUAAUUCCUGUUUAGCCAUGCGGUUGUCUGUAAAUCUGCUUAGUUGGUCAUCCAAAGUGAUGACAUUUAAGAUAUAGUUGAUACACUGUUUAUCUUAAAGAAACAUUUUAAAAUUAAUUCUUCAGACCUAUGUAAUAUUUUAUCUUUUCUGUUUAAUAAUAUCCAAAUGUGCUUUUGUGAAGCACAAAACACAUGUGUAUUUCUUCAUAAAUCAGUCAGAUAGCUUUGAAAAUAUAUUUCAAGUAUGUAGCAAAGACCCUCAAAACACAAUUAUUGAAGCAUUAUAAAAAGGUGAAUUUGCUUCAGUUUUGGACUUUUAAUAGACUUCACUGUUAUGUAGUAAAGAUAGAAAUAUGCCAUAAAAGUCUCUGGUUAAGAGCCAAGACUUUUUCUCCUGUAUCAUUUCAGAUCCCGUCAUUUCUACCUGAUCUUUAGGAUAGACUAUGCACAUUCAGAGUGUUGAGUAAAAUUAUUAGAAAAUAUAAUACCCAUAACAUGGUUCUUUAUACCCUUUAAGUAAAUAUGUUGGCACAUGAAUUCACAAUUUAAAACGCUGACUUUGUAAGAAAUUUGCAUGUGUCUCCAGUGAAGAUAUUGUUGCCCUUGUGUUCUUUGUGCGUGAUUUAUGACAAAAUUAUGAGACCUUUACAUUUGUGGAAAUAAAACACGUAAAGUUAUUUCAAAUACA
ensembl:lncRNA FRG1-DT FRG1 divergent transcript